UGGGGAAUAUUGGACAAUGGGGGAAACCCUGAUCCAGCAAUGCCGCGUGAGUGAAGAAGGCCUUAGGGUUGUAAAGCUCUUUCGCCCGCGAAGAUAAUGACGGUAGCGGGAGAAGAAGCCCCGGCUAACUCCGUGCCAGCAGCCGCGGUAAUACGGAGGGGGCUAGCGUUGUUCGGAAUUACUGGGCGUAAAGCGUACGUAGGCGGAUGCGCAAGUUGGGGGUGAGAUCCCGGGGCUUAACCUCGGAAUUGCCCUCAAAACUGCACGUCUUGAGACCGAGAGAGGUAAGGGGAAUUCCUAGUGUAGAGGUGAAAUUCGUAGAUAUUAGGAAGAACACCAGUGGCGAAGGCGCCUUACUGGCUCGGUACUGACGCUGAGGUACGAAAGCGUGGGGAGCAAACA
rnacentral:rRNA from 1 species